UACGGUCAUAUCACGUUGAAAUACCCGUUCCCGUUCGAUCACUGAAGGUAAGCAACGUCGAACCUGGCCAGUACUUAGCUGGGUAACCGCUUGGGAAUACCAGAUGUUGUAAG